rnacentral:lncRNA from 1 species
ACAUUCCUACCUCAGAGCCUCUGGAUUUGCUAUUUCCUGUGCCUGCAACACAAAAUUACAUGGUCCAUGCUCUCAUUCCAUUCAGGAUUCUACUCAAAUAUCACUUUAUUGAAAAGUCCUUCCUUGUUCAUACAGCAUCUGCCUUCAUUACCCUCCGUACUCUUAAUUAGUUGAUUUGUCGUGUUAGCACUUACAGCAACAUGACAUAUUAUGCUUAUUUAUUUGUCCAUUGUCUGUCUUCCACACUUGAGUGUAAGUUCUGUUUCAUGACAGCAGGGACUUUGGCUAUCUUUGUUCUCUGCUGUGUCCUCAGAGAGUCUGGCAUCUGGUGAGGGUUCAUUAAAAAUUUAAUGAAUGAAGAAAUGAACAAAUAUUAAUGUGGAUAAUUAUUCAGAGAGUUGGUCAAGAACAGCAAGUGGGUAGGUUCCAGUUUUGUUUUACAUGGAAGUUUGUAUAAACUGAAGACUAAGAUCAGAAUCAGGGAAAAUGUUCUCCUUUAUGUCUUCUCAAUGUAAAAAAUAGAAUGUAGUUGAAUGUGGUGGAUUGGUAAUAAAUAUGUUUAUUGUUCCAAAUUCCAUAUUUUAUUUAUUUAUUUUUUUAGGGACAGGGUCUCGCUCUGUCGCCCAGGCUGGAGUGCAGUGGUGCCAUCAUAGCUCACUGCGGGGUCAAACUCCUGGCCUCAAGCGAUCUUCCCACCUUGGCCUCUCGAAGUGCUGGCAUUACAGGCAUGAGUCACUGCGCCGAGCCCAAAUUCUGUAUUUUAGUAGUAGAAGUUGUCCACUUAUGUUUUAACCAUGGAAAUUAAAUUAUGUGUGUGAUCAUGAAUCCAAAUUUUGCUAUUUAUUUCCUAUUCUUUUUUUUUUUUUUUUUUUUUUUUUUUUGAGAUACGGCCUAGCUCUGUCGCCCAGGCUGGAGUGCAGUGGCGUGAUCACAGCUCACUACAGCCUCAACCUCCCUGGCUCAAGCGAUACUCCCACCUCAGCCUCCUGAGUAGCUGAGACUCCAAGCAUGUGCCACCAUGCCCAGCUAAUUUUUAAAUUUUUUGUAGAGAUGGGGUCUCGCUAUUUGCCCAGGCUGGUCUCAAACUUCUGGGCUCAAACCAUCCUCCCACCUCGGCCUAUUUCCUAUCCUUAUGGUCCUGGCAAUGCUGGUAAACUUGCAUUAGUUCAUUACAUUUUACUUGGAAAUGAAAAUUUUCAUCUAAGUAAAAUGCCUGAUGCAUUUUUUUUCUUUAAAUUCUGACCCCACUAGAUUAGUUUUAAACCCUUCUUGAAUCUAAUUUUUUCAAAGAUGCCAUUUUUCCAGGCAUUUGAAUCCCAUUUUCCCCAGAGCCUUUGUUUUGUGAAUAGUGCAUUCUAAGUAAAUUAAACCAAUGAAGCCUUAGUGAUAUAAUUGCAAACCUAUCCAGUCACUGCAUCUUCUACAAUGGAUUCUGGACUCAGCUUAAGUAGGACUAAUAAGUACACUAGUCCUAGUGCCUUCUCUGCUCUCUUUUGUGGCUUUGGAACACUCAGUUCUCUAUUUCAGAGCUUCAUCUGCAAGAGUGGAUAAUAGCAUUUGCCUCACAAUUGUGGUCUUAUGAGGAUCAAAUGUGAUGACACCAGGGAACCUGCUUUAAAGUAUUUAAAGUGGCUGGGCACGGUGGCUCACGCCUGUAAUCCCAGCACUUUGGGAAGCCAAGGCUGGUGGAUCACGAGGUUAGGAGUUCAAGACCAGCCUGGCCAAGAUGGUGAAAC